GGAAUCUUAGACAAUGGGGGCAACCCUGAUCUAGCCAUGCCGCGUGAGUGAUGAAGGCCCUAGGGUCGUAAAGCUCUUUCGCUGGGGAAGAUAAUGACUGUCCCCAGUAAAGAAACCCCGGCUAACACCGUGCCAGCAGCCGCGGUAAUACGGAGGGGGUUAGCGUUGUUCGGAAUUACUGGGCGUAAAGCGCGCGUAGGCGGAUUGGAAAGUUGGGGGUGAAAUCCCGGGGCUCAACCCCGGAACUGCCUCCAAAACUAUCAGUCUAGAGUUCGAGAGAGGUGAGUGGAAUUCCGAGUGUAGAGGUGAAAUUCGUAGAUAUUCGGAGGAACACCAGUGGCGAAGGCGGCUCACUGGCUCGAUACUGACGCUGAGGUGCGAAAGUGUGGGGAGC
rnacentral:rRNA from 1 species